GACGAACGCUGGCGGCGUGCCUAAUAAAUGCAAGUCGAACGAGGGGCGGAAGGGUGAGUAACACGUGGGUAAAUACCCAUCAGAGGGGGAUAACACUUGGAAACAGGUGCUAUUACCGCAUACUGAUGGAUGGACCCGCGGUGCAUUAGCUAGUUGGUGAGGUAACGGCUCAACUAGGCGACGAUCUCUAGCUGGUCUGCAAAGAUGAGCAGCCACACUGGGACUGAGACACGGCCCAACAGCCGACGAGAGGCAGCAGUGGUGAAUAUGGGACAAUGGGCGCAAGCCUGAUUCAGCCAUGCCGCGUGUAUGAAGAAGGCCUUAGGGUUGUAAAGUACUUUCAGCGGGGAGGCGUUACCCGCAGAAUAAGCACCGGCUAACUCCGUUCCAGCAGCCGCGGUAAUUC
rnacentral:rRNA from 1 species